rnacentral:lncRNA from 1 species
CCCCAGAUUCGUUUUUUGACACACCAAAUCAAUUACGAAUUCAAUUGAUUUCUAAAUUCUUCUAUCUCCAUAUUCUGCUCGUAAAAAAAAUCUCUUAUACUUCCGUCGUUAUUCCGUUCAAGUACGAUCAUUCAUUGGUUCGACCGACAAGGUUGGUAUUGUGCAGUAUCGACUUUGGAAGGAGCGUUGUAUCUUGGGAGACAGACGUCCAUAAUCCC